UUUGUUGAAUGAAUGGAUGAGUUUGAGGCAGGAUUCGCUGUUUCUCCUGACCUUUGCUGACAUGUCUGAACGUAGGCAGUCUCCUCGUGGCCCCAGUGUGUCUGCUGAUAAGUUCCUGUAAGAGACUGCCCUCUUGUUGACGCAUCAAGUCAUCGCUUUCUCCUGGCAGCAUCUCUCCCUCAUAGCCCUUGUUAGCGUUCAGGCAUCUGUACUGGCCUGCCCUUGGGAUUCCGACAGAUUACGCCCUCAGCUGCAGCCGCUAAGAGCACCACCUAAACACACAGCCUCCCGUAGCCUCGGUGACUUCAAGAACGAUCGCGUCACGGCUGCAGUAGCAGCCAUCCCAGUGGGCUGGUGGAGAAUCAAAGCGGCUGAAGGACGUGCCGGGCCCGUGGUCUGAAAAGUGCCACAAUUCUCCUUCCAGACAGCAGGAGUCAGCGUGGAAACCCAGCUCGACCGCCGGCAGCAGGGCGUUCACUUUUCCCAGGCUUCUGUUUCUGCAUUCACUAACACCUGCUUUUAGGAGCUCAGUGGAAUUAUGUGAGCAAAAAGCAUCAUAAAUACAGUCCACAAACAACCUCUUCCCUUUCCCAGCUUCCUGAGGCAGAUGUUUGAAAUGGCGAUGUCAUCAUUCUCAGUCCGUCGUUAAGAUGCUCAUAGUCUGGGCGGGGUUGGGGAGGGGUAUUCUGAUCCGACUGUGUCACAGUAGAGUCUCUGGGGACAGGUUCCCUGUCUCCAGGCCUCUGUUAACUUUUCUCUGUGACUGGGCCUGCCUGAAAUAGGCUGGGAAUUAGGCUGGAAGGAGCCGUGUGUGGACUGUUUGGCACAGCACCUGCGCUUGGUUGGUCUUCUGAGGGUAUUAAUUACCGACGUCUCUCAGAAAGAUCAGAGAGUGGGAUUCGAGGCCCGGGUAAGAGCUGCAGCAGAGAGGGCGAUACAGAGGCCUUCUCGGUGCACACAGCCAGGCCGCUGCCCACCUGUCUGCCUAACCCCUGCUGCAGACACAAAGCCGCAACCUCUGGACUUCACAGGGUCAUCAGAAGAGGAAGCUGCCAGUCCACGGCCCUGUCUGCAAACAUGGCUGCCUUUCUCAUCCCUUUGAAGUUGGUGCCCGAGGACACAGAAGCAUUUCUCCACGGCACAAUUACAAUGAAGGAGAUGUAAGUCUCUCACGGGUGGGAAUGGGCACGUCCAUCCCAGACCACACAAAGCAGGGUUGGCAGCUUUCCGGGCCAAGGCGGGAAGCAGGAGCAUGGAUGCCAGGGAAGUCGGAGGCCUGUCCCUACCCUCUGCAAUGGCUUUGGUAUUCUACCAGCAUCCUCUGGUUUGGAAAACGUGAUUGUGCCUUGAUCUCAACCAGAAGUUCCCUUUGGUCCUGCUGGUUGCAGAAGACAGCAGAGCCUCCGUGUUCCACCAGUGGUCCCAUUCCUCGGGGCCACAGUGGCCAAUUCUAGCUUCAUUGUCACGACCUGUUCUCCGGGACCUGCCUUUCUAUACCCGUACCUUUCCCGAGGCACUGCAAAGCUCUCCUCUCUCUCUAGGCUUGCCGUCCCUCGCCAUUUCAGUGAGAGGUGGCGUUCCCCCCACCCCUCAAAGUUUAAUAUUGUGUUUCUCUCAAAAAUGAGCGUGGGCUUCAGACUCAGACAGAGCCACUUAAAAGCCCGUGACCUUCACCGUGUGCCUCCAUUUUUUAUCUAAGAAAGAAAAUGGAUGAGAGUAAUCCUCCCAGGGGGGAUGCUGACUGUUAGAAUUGCAUGAGAUCACAUGUGGACGCACUUAGAUGAUCAAUAUGUAUUUCCUCCCCUUCCCUUUACUACUCAAACACCACUGCCUCGUUUGUGGGUCUCUAGACCACAUUUUCCUGGCUCUGUGUAAGCCCAGGGUCCUUGAAAGCAAGUGCUUUUUCUUAAGCUUG